rnacentral:rRNA from 1 species
CAGUAGCCGCGGUAAUACGUAGGGUGCGAGCGUUAAUCGGAAUUACUGGGCGUAAAGCGUGCGCAGGCGGUUUUGUAAGACAGAGGUGAAAUCCCCGGGCUCAACCUGGGAACUGCCUUUGUGACUGCAAGGCUAGAGUACGGCAGAGGGGGAUGGAAUUCCGCGUGUAGCAGUGAAAUGCGUAGAUAUGCGGAGGAACACCGAUGGCGAAGGCAAUCCCCUGGGCCUGUACUGACGCUCAUGCACGAAAGCGUGGGGAGCAAACAGGAUUAGAUACCCCCGUAGUCCCUGUCUCUUAUAC